rnacentral:lncRNA from 1 species
AUUUAAAUAUAGCAGUCAUUAUAUGCAUUCAUUUAGCCAGUGUGUCCAAGCAUUUGACUGACACAAUAAAUAGUAUUCUCGAUACGCAAAGUCAGACGGUAGAACAAUGAAUACUCCUCGGCCUGGUUUACGGGAGCUGCCAGACCGGUAUCGCAAGGCGGUGGUUCAGGAAACCCAUGCAGUAUAGCGGCAUGGUCUUCAAGACGCUCACAAAGUUCAUAAAGUAAUUGAUACUGUUGGUCAUCAAAAAUACAACCUUCAUAUCCACCAGUACUCUCUGAUGGUGAUACGUUGCGCAAGGAUGAAACCGAUCUCUUCCCAGAACCACCCUCCUCUCCAUGGACAGAUUUUGAAUCACUCAAUCUUGCUAACAUGGGUCGCAAGCUGUUGCUUCUACUACGAACGGGAGUAUAAGUCUGAGUUUCCGGGAGGGCUGUGGGUGUUCCCAAACUUCGGCUCUUUAUCAAUCUCUCCAGUCUUCCUUGCAAUUGCACAGGAUAAACCAAUGAAAUCAUUUCAGUAGUAUCCAAACCUUUUAACUUAAAUUCUCCAAGGUUAUGGAUAAUAUAACCGAUUUGUUUAAGAGCACGAACUUCCAUUUCGUUGACAUUCGUCUUCUCUGAUGACAUUGUUUCUGAAUCAAGCUGAUUCAAUACAGAUACCACCUCAGCAGAAACAGCAAUUUGACCACCAUCAGCGACUGAUACAACCCUAGAUGUUCUGUUUACUACAGGCCCGUAAUAGUCCAUACGUCUAGUGAUGGGAUCUAGUUCACUCACGGUUACACCAUAAUUGACACCAAUUCGAACACUAAGCCCUCGAUAUAACACCUCAUUUUUUGAGCCGAGUACCAACCGUCCUUGCACUGACUCAACUAUUUCGUUGGGCCAAUCUGCCGAAAGUAACUGUAAUUGUACUGAAAAACACCAAAGUAAUGCAGCAGGAACUGUUUGAAAACAAACCAUAAACGCAUCUCCUUCGGUUUUUACUUCAUAGCCUCCAGUUGCACGGAGUUGCCGACGCAUAAUAGUAUUAUGAGUUUUGAUCGCAGAUCUCAUUGCAAUAGGAUGUCUUUCCCACAAUAAUGUGGAAUUCUUAAUAUCAGUAAAAACCAUGGCAAUACAACCUUUCGGGGGAGAGACUUCUCUAUUCAUUCGUGCUAAAGAAGAAUCAUCGGGUAAAUCUUGGACAAAUGACAUAUUAUCGUUCUUUUCAGAAAUUGCUAAAGUUUUUUCAUCCCCCCGUAGUUGGUUGAAAUUAAGGGAAUUCUCUUCAAACAAUCCGUUCAAUUCGACGAUAACUACAAGAACAUUUUUUUCUGCACCAUAUGCAAUAGCAUAGUCACGUAGCUUCGUAGAGGCUAAUAGAGGAGAAUGUCUGUUGGCACGAACAACGUCAAUUACUGUGCGUUUUGAUAAUACGCUCCAAAAUUCCUGAUUUGCUAGAAUGAUAAAUUCGUUUAGUUCAGAUAAGUACUGCACAUUAACAUAGGGAACUGCUUGGACGCCAGGAAAUUGAGACAAACGACCAAUAGCACGUGUAGUGGUCGAUUUUAUUUCACCAGAUAUGAAACCACAUGAAUCAACUAUGCGACGAAUUUCAUCCCUAUUGUACACAUCAUGCAUGACACUUAAAGUUGUAGGUUCCGAAUCAUUUCUCGUAGACAUUAUAGCCAUUGAUGUGCCCACAUUGGCAACGAAAGCUCUUGUAUCCCUGACGUACACUAAGAUAAUGCUAACUCCUAUAUCCAAGCAAGAACUGUCCAUAGAAUAACCCUUUUCUGAAAUAUUCAUAGUGGUAACGUAAUUACUAUCCACGUCUCCUUCUGAAGACUUCCUAAGGUCAUAAUGAAUGACAUUUCCUAAUUUUUUGUUUAAACGAAGAAAUCCUCUUCUCAAAGCGUUACAAAUUUGUUCAGAAGAGGAAUCUGCUGCAUUAAUCUCAUGCGCUAGGCAUGAAGCCAAAUUGUCGUACACAAAUUUUAAAACCCGGUUGUUUUUUCCAGCGCUGAUGUCACUGUCAAGCACACAGUAUAAAGAUGAUUGAGGAUGCAAAAAGUUGUUAACAACUAAUUCACAUGCAGAGAUGACGGGAAUAGAACGAGAAAGGUAUCCACAUACUCCAUACCUCAAAAUGUUAGGUUGAGGAGAGUUGCGUUGAAUAAAAUGGUUUAGAACAUCAGAAGGCGCAUUAGAAAAUUUUGUAUUCAAAUCCAUGAUGCUCAAAAACUUUAAAUUCUUCAAAUAUGAUUUUGUAAAGUUUGUAUCUUCAUGCUCAGAGAAUCGAAACCAUGUGUUACCAGAUAGAUUAAGGUAUUCCAAUUGAGGAAGUUUAGUUAAACUCUUCUUUUCAGCUUUUUCUACUGCUAAAUUCUGCAGAUUAUUGGUACUUAUGUCCAAAAAUCUUAAACUUUUAGACAAAGCUUCAUUUUUAGGAAAAGAGGAAAGACGAUUUCCAUUCGCGUACAAAGUUUCAAGUAGGACCUGCGCUGUACUGGAAAUGGAAAGAUUUGCAAGCUCAUUUCCUGACACAAAAAGGUGUUUAAGAUCAGAAAAAUUUUGGAAAAACUUGCUUGGAAUUUCCGUUAAAUAAUUGUAAGAUAAAUUUAAGACUUUUAAACACUUAAAGUAUUCUAAAGCCGUAAAACAGUCAUUGCCCAAUCUGUUGUCCACCAAGUAUAAUUCUUCAACGGUAGGCAUAACAAAUUCUUGGGAGGAGAGGCUCGAUACCGGAUUUCCUGAUAAAGUACGCAUGAUUUUUAAUUGGCUAAUUGUCCUAGUUAAUUUUUUUGACGUUGCAACUGGUAACUUGAUUUUCUCCAGGAUAUUGGAAGACAGG